GAUCACAUUUACCUGACAUCAUAUUCGAGGAUGAAAGUCCAUUUGGCCACUCAGGUAAUUAGUACGACGGUAGCAAAUGCACUGGAUUCAUUUUAUGGACAGGAAGUUCAAGGAACCGUAAAAUUCAUCAGAAUGUUUGAUAAAUUUUUCGAUUGUUUGAAUAGUCGGUCACUAACAGAGGCUGACAGGAACAGGAAACCGAAUAUGGCACCAUAUAAAUCUCCAAAUGACCAGCGUUUAAAGUGGCUGAGGGAUGAUUUUCUAAAAUACCUGGAAAGGUGGGCAACAUCAGUAGAUUCACACUUCCAGGGACUGAAAUCGAAAGAAAAGGCGAAAAUGAGA